rnacentral:rRNA from 1 species
UACGAGGGGGGCGAGCGUUGUUCGGAAUUAUUGGGCGUAAAGGGUGCGUAGGCGGUUCGGUAAGUUUGAUGUGAAAUCUUCGGGCUCAACUCGAAGUCUGCAUCGAAAACUGCCGGGCUUGAGUGUGGGAGAGGUGAGUGGAAUUUCCGGUGUAGCGGUGAAAUGCGUAGAUAUCGGAAGGAACACCUGUGGCGAAAGCGGCUCACGGGACCACAACUGACGCUGAUGCACGAAAGCUAGGGGAGCAAACAGG